rnacentral:rRNA from 1 species
AAAUGCCCUGCUUCCAGGAAAAGCCUCUAAGCAUCAGGUAACAUCAAAUCGUACCCCAAACCGACACAGGUGGUCAGGUAGAGAAUACCAAGGCGCUUGAGAGAACUCGGGUGAAGGAACUAGGCAAAAUGGUGCCGUAACUUCGGGAGAAGGCACGCUGAUAUGUAGGUGAAGCGACUUGCUCGUGGAGCUGAAAUCAGUCGAAGAUACCAGCUGGCUGCAACUGUUUAUUAAAAACACAGCACUGUGCAAACACGAAAGUGGACGUAUACGGUGUGACGCCUGCCCGGUGCCGGAAGGUUAAUUGAUGGGGUUAGCGGUAACGCGAAGCUCUUGAUCGAAGCCCCGGUAAACGGCGGCCGUAACUAUAACGGUCCUAAGGUAGCGAAAUUCCUUGUCGGGUAAGUUCCGACCUGCACGAAUGGCGUAAUGAUGGCCAGGCUGUCUCCACCCGGGACUCAGUGAAAUUGAACUCGCUGUGAAGAUGCAGUGUACCCGCGGCAAGACGGAAAGACCCCGUGAACCUUUACUAUAGCUUGACACUGAACAUUGAGCCUUGAUGUGUAGGAUAGGUGGGAGGCUUUGAAGUGUGGACGCCAGUCUGCAUGGAGCCGACCUUGAAAUACCACCCUUUAAUGUUUGAUGUUCUAACGUUGGCCCGUAAUCCGGGUUGCGGACAGUGUCUGGUGGGUAGUUUGACUGGGGCGGUCUCCUCCUAAAGAGUAACGGAGGAGCACGAAGGUUGGCUAAUCCUGGUCGGACAUCAGGAGGUUAGUGCAAUGGCAUAAGCCAGCUUGACUGCGAGCGUGACGGCGCGAGCAGGUGCGAAAGCAGGUCAUAGUGAUCCGGUGGUUCUGAAUGGAAGGGCCAUCGCUCAACGGAUAAAAGGUACUCCGGGGAUAACAGGCUGAUACCGCCCAAGAGUUCAUAUCGACGGCGGUGUUUGGCACCUCGAUGUCGGCUCAUCACAUCCUGGGGCUGAAGUAGGUCCCAAGGGUAUGGCUGUUCGCCAUUUAAAGUGGUACGCGAGCUGGGUUUAGAACGUCGUGAGACAGUUCGGUCCCUAUCUGCCGUGGGCGCUGGAGAACUGAGGGGGGCUGCUCCUAGUACGAGAGGACCGGAGUGGACGCAUCACUGGUGUUCGGGUUGUCAUGCCAAUGGCACUGCCCGGUAGCUAAAUGCGGAAGAGAUAAGUGCUGAAAGCAUCUAAGCACGAAACUUGCCCCGAGAUGAGUUCUCCCUGAGACUUAGAGUCUCCUGAAGGAACGUUGAAGACGACGACGUUGAUAGGCCGGGUGUGUAAGCGCAGCGAUGCGUUGAGCUAACCGGUACUAAUGAACCGUGAGGCUUAACCUUACAACGCCGAAG